rnacentral:lncRNA from 1 species
UGGAGACCCUUGAGGGGAAGCCCAUUCUCCGGACUUGGAACGCCGACAACUUGAAGCUGUAUUACCAGUGAAUUUUGUAAUUCAAUAGUCGGAAUACAAGUUCAGUUUGAAAGUUCAGAGUUUUAACUCUUCGACUAGUGAGCGGUGCUCAUCAAGGUCAAACCCCGACGUAUUGACGUGGACCUAGCAUCCACCUAAAAACCGAUGACCUCAUCAUCGGUAACACAUCGGACCCUUACAAGGACCGAUGCAUCUACAAUUACGGGAGUCAACACUCCUUCGAC